rnacentral:misc_RNA from 1 species
UCCUGGUUAACCCAGGCAGUCUCGCUAGAGUUCCCAGCAUUACCUGUUGGCAACUAACGAUAAGGGUUGCGCUCGUUGCGGGACUUAACCCAACACCUCACGGCACGAGCUGACGACAGCCAUGCAGCACCUGUGCAGCGGCCCCGAAAGGCGUUAAUAUUUCUACUAACUUCCACUGCAUGUCAAGUCUGGGUAAGGUUCUUCGCGUUGCAUCGAAUUAAACCACAUGCUCCACUGCUUGUGCGGGUCCCCGUCAAUUCUUUUGAGUUUCACCCUUGCGAGCGUACUCCCCAGGCGGUAUACUUAUCGCGUUAGCUACGGCACAACCAGGGUUGAGUCCGGUUACACCAAGUAUACAUCGUUUACGGCAAGGACUAC